rnacentral:lncRNA from 1 species
UCACAAAUCAAUUACAUUGUUCGUCCUAAAAUUAAAUUUGACUAUGCAUAUUAAUGAGAGAAAAACAAAAAUUUAUGGAAGACAUCACAAAAUUAAUUGACGGAAUAUGAAUAAUUUGCAAAAAGUAAAUCUGCCUUUUUUUGCGAGUUGCCGUCUCUUUGUGUUUUUAUCUCUUUCGGUUUUCAGUGCGCGUAACCAAAUAAUAAAUUUCAACAACCUGGUCUCAAUAUUUGCAGCCCAAUUUCUGCCUUCUACUGCGUGGAAUGUAGAUAUAUUAAUGGCAGCAAAAAUUAUUCCUCUGACCAAAAUUUGUAAAAUUAUAAUAUUGCGGCUGCCUCUCCAAUUCCCAACGUGGGUGUGAAUACGAUCUCAGCCUCAAAAGUGUGAGUCAAAUAUAAAAUAUUGGCUGCCUCUUAAAUCCCUUCUCUCUCAAUUUUUUCUCUGCGUUUUCUGUG